AGUGAACGCUAGUGGCGUGCUUAACACAUGCAAGUCGAACGGACGAUAUUUGUGCUUGCACAAAUAAAGUUAGUGGCAAACGGGUGAGUAAUACAUGAGAAUUUUCCUUGCAGUACGGAAUAACUAUUGGAAACAGUAGCUAAUACCGUAUAUUGCCGAGAGGUGAAAGAUUUAUCGCUGCAAGAUAAGCCCAUGCAAGAUUAGCUUGUUGGUAAGGUAAUGGCUUACCAAGGCUACGAUCUUUAGCUGGUUUGAGAGGAUGAUCAGCCACACUGGAACUUAGACACGGUCCAGACUCCUACGGGAGGCAGCAGUGGGGAAUAUUGCACAAUGGGCGAAAGCCUGAUGCAGCGACGCCGCGUGGGGGAUGACGGCCUUCGGGUUGUAAACUCCUUUCGUCAGGGACGAAGCGAAAGUGACGGUACCUGGAUAAGAAGCACCGGCUAACUACGUGCCAGCCGCCGCCGUAACAC
rnacentral:rRNA from 1 species